GACGAACGCUGGCGGCGUGCUUAACACAUGCAAGUCGAACGGAAAGGCCCUGCUUUUGUGGGGUGCUCGAGUGGCGAACGGGUGAGUAACACGUGAGUAACCUGCCCUUGACUUUGGGAUAACUUCAGGAAACUGGGGCUAAUACCGGAUAGGAGCUCCUGCUGCAUGGUGGGGGUUGGAAAGUUUCGGCGGUUGGGGAUGGACUCGCGGCUUAUCAGCUUGUUGGUGGGGUAGUGGCUUACCAAGGCUUUGACGGGUAGCCGGCCUGAGAGGGUGACCGGCCACAUUGGGACUGAGAUACGGCCCAGACUCCUACGGGAGGCAGCAGUGGGGAAUAUUGCACAAUGGGCGGAAGCCUGAUGCAGCAACGCCGCGUGCGGGAUGACGGCCUUCGGAUUGUAAACCGCUUUCGCCUGUGACGAAGCGUGAGUGACGGUAAUGGGUAAAGAAGCACCGGCUAACUACGUG
rnacentral:rRNA from 1 species